rnacentral:rRNA from 2 species
GGUCAAGCUACAAAGGGCGCAU